AUCCCGGAAGGACCCGGCAUCCCUCAGAACCCCGAGAGGGCUUGCCCCACCGUGGGCGUACGGGAGGGCUGCGAGGUCCCAGGUAGACCCCCCUCAACGAACAGAUUUGCACGAUUAUGUGUCAGUGGGCCUUCAAGGACGCAGCUCCAUCCGACACAUGCUGACCGAAGCUCACGAGGACAUUCAGAGCACAGGCUUGUACAGGGGCACUGACGCCCUGGCUGACCGACGGGAGUACACACUUCUGUUUGUGUUCUUUCGCCCCCUGGUUCUUAAAGGCUCAUUAGACAUCACAUCAGAUAAGGACUUAGACUCAGUGUUGCUCAGCUCAGAUGAACCUCCGAUAAGGAAACAGAUCAAGAGAGGUUAAUGAUUUGCCCACCUUCACCCAUCCAUGCCUUCCAAUGUCAAGACAAACCUUGGGGAAAGGAAGGGGAAGAAUGACGGGCUUUUUGGAGAAGAUCAGUGCUGACCAGCCUUUGAAGGGCGAACAAGAUUUGAAUCAGCAGAGAUGAGAAAAGGCUGGGAAAAGAUAAUGUGCCGGAGAGUGGAGAUGAGCGUCCAGGUGCCUGGGAUUCCCUCUGCCUGGCCUUGCUUCAGCUGACCUCCCUCUUGUAGUUAGGCCCCCGCUGAUGGACCCUCCGGAAAUGGCUUCUUCCCUCCCUCCUGCCCCAAGGGCGGGUUGACUGCAAAAGCUGGAUUCCCUUUCUACAGAGGGAAUAGAAAAAUAAAGAAUGUAUUAGUUAUAGAAAUAGCAUUGCACACACCCACCAGAAUGCCUAAAAUGGAAAUGAUGGAAAGUGCAAAGUGAUGCUCUGGGACUCUCCCACACAGCUGAGAGGAAUGUGGAUUUGUACAGCCGCUUUGGAGAACUCUUUGACAGUAGCUACUGAAGCCAACCAUACACACCUUAUGGGUGGCCAGCAGUUCCACCCCAGGAGUAUACAAGAGUAGACAAGCUCAACAGAGUGAAGUCGCCUUUCCCAGAACUGUGAAAUUUCAUAUUCUCUUCCUGUUCCGGUCUGUGGUUCUGGAGAAGUACACACAAUUUACCAUAAGCAGAGCAGUGUUAGUAUAGACACUGAAAAACACUCACUGAUCACUGUCCCUGUGAUGGAUGACACAUUCAUUCACCAAAUACUUAUUGAGAAGCUUCUCGGAGCCAAAUCAGAAGAUAGGCACUAGAGGAUACAAAGACAAAACUGUCACUGCCCCUGGCCUCAGGGUGAGAGCAAAGCAGCCAAAUAAUUGCCAUACGAUGUGAGUGGUUUGGAGUACACGGUGGAUGAGAUUGCCUUGUGAAAACUGAAGUGAGAAACUCAACUGGAUCUUGGAGGAACCAGAUCAUUGCAGCUCUACUUACAAUAGCCAGGACAUGGAAGCAACCUAAGUGUCCAUCGACAGAUGAAUGGAUAAAGAAGAUGUGGCACAUACAUACAAUGGACUAUUACUCAGACAUAACAAGAAACGAAAUUGAGUUACUUGUAGUGAGCUGGAUGGACCUAGAGACUGUCAUACAGAGUGAAGUAAGUCAGAAAGAGAAAAACAAAUACCGUAUGAUAACACAUAUAUAUGGAAUCUAAAAAAAGAAAAAGAAAAAAAUGGUCUGAAGGACCUAGGGGCAGGACCGGAAUAAAGAGACAGACGUAGAGAAUGGGCUUGAGGACACGGGGAGGGGGACGGGGAAGCUGGGACGAAGUGAGAGAGUGGCAUGGACAUAUAUACACUACCAAAUGUAAAACAGAUAGCAAGUGGGAAGCAGCCGCAUGGCACAGGGAGAUCAGCUGGGUGCUUUGUGACCAA